AUCCUUUUUGGUCAUUAGCAUGAUGAUUGGGUAUUCACACCAUUGUGUGAUAUGUGCCUCCCUCUAAACUGUUAUGAUGUCAGCACAUAACCCGUCUGAGU
rfam:Ictidomys tridecemlineatus contig081060, whole genome shotgun sequence.